rnacentral:rRNA from 1 species
GACGUGCCGGUAAUAAACCGGAGGAAGGUGGGGAUGACGUCAAUCAUCAUGCCCCUUAUGACCUGGGCUACACACGUGCUACAAUGGUUGGUACAACGAGUUGCGAGUCGGUGACGGCGAGCUAAUCUCUUAAAGCCAAUCUCAGUUCGGAUUGUAGGCUGCAACUCGCCUACAUGAAGUCGGAAUCGCUAGUAAUCGCGGAUCAGCACGCCGCGGUGAAUACGUUCCCGGGCCUU